GACGAACGCUGGCGGCGUGCUUAACACAUGCAAGUCGAACGGUGAACGAGGGAGCUUGCUCCCUCCGGAUCAGUGGCGAACGGGUGAGUAACGCGUGAGCAAUCUGCCCUGGACUCUGGGAUAAGCGUUGGAAACGACGUCUAAUACCGGAUACGAGGCGUGGGGGCAUCCCAACGCCUGGAAAGAACUUCGGUCCAGGAUGAGCUCGCGGCCUAUCAGCUAGUUGGUGAGGUAACGGCUCACCAAGGCGACGACGGGUAGCCGGCCUGAGAGGGUGAACGGCCACACUGGGACUGAGACACGGCCCAGACUCCUACGGGAGGCAGCAGUGGGGAAUAUUGCACAAUGGGCGCAAGCCUGAUGCAGCAACGCCGCGUGAGGGACGACGGCCUUCGGGUUGUAAACCUCUUUUAGUAGGGAAGAAGCGAAAGUGACGGUACCUGCAGAAAAAGCACCGGCUAACUUCGUGCCAGCAGCCGCAGUAACAC
rnacentral:rRNA from 1 species